UACGUAGGGGGCUAGCGUUGUCCGGAAUCAUUGGGCGUAAAGCGCGUGUAGGCGGUUCGGUAAGUCCGCUGUGAAAGUCGGGGGCUCAACCCUCGGAUGCCGGUGGAUACUGUCGGACUAGAGUACGGAAGAGGCGAGUGGAAUCCCUGGUGUAGCGGUGAAAUGCGCAGAUAUCAGGAGGAACACCGAUUGCGAAGGCAGCUCGCUGGGACGUUACUGACGCUGAGACGCGAAAGCGUGGGGAGCGAACAGG
rnacentral:rRNA from 1 species